rnacentral:lncRNA from 1 species
AAAGAAGGAGAUGGAGAAUGGAUAAGGAAAUGGAAAGAAUAAAGUGCAUAAGAUAAAAUAAGAAUGUGCCAAUCCAUGUGUAUUGACCAAAUGACAUUGAAAGUCAAAGUCCAACAAUGAGAAAUCAGAAAUGAGAUGAAGAUUGGAGGUUAAACAAUAAACAAAAUAUUUUUGGCAUUUUUAAUAUUAAUAUAAACUUGAAUUAAAA